UACAGAGGGUGCGAGCGUUAAUCGGAAUUACUGGGCGUAAAGCGUGCGUAGACGGUUAUUUAAGUCGGAUGUGAAAGCCCCGGGCUCAACCUGGGAAUUGCAUUCGAGACUGAAUAGCUAGGGUACGGUAGAGGGAAGUGGAAUUUCCGUUGUAGCGGUGAAAUGCGUAGAUAUCGGAAGGAACAUCAGUGGCGAAGGCGGCUCACUGGCCCGAUACUGACGCUGAGGUGCGAAAGCGUGGGGAGCAAACAGG
rnacentral:rRNA from 1 species